GGGAUCGGGCUUUGGGACGCAGCUCGAGGUGACGGACCGCUGCCACAGGCUCGUGUGCACAAGUGGUGCUGCGCGGACACUUUGGGGGUUAGGUGUGCGUGGGCCGCCGGGGCGCGUUUCCUGCACGUGGCUCCUCGCCGCCCUCCCUCCUCCACCAGCUAGGAGAGCAGAGGGCCAGGAGCUCUAGGAAGAUGCGUGCGGUUCCCUGAUCCUGGCAGGCAGGACAGCAGCGGGAUGGUCGCGCGCGCCACCUGCCAGGGCGGGUCACUGGCAGAUCCCCUACGCGCUUGUUCUGGAUGACUGGACCAGGAGAUGCGUACCUCCGCGGGCGCAGCUGUGAUCCCAGAGAGUUAACUAAGGUGGGAGGGGAUGGAGCUGGCAAGACUUGAGAAAAGCAAAGUACCUGAGUGUAGUUGAGGGGUGCCAGGCAACUCGUGAGAAAAGGACUCUCCCUUGUUGCUCUGAAGGUUUCUGGAGAACUUGUGGGUGGUCAAAUGCCAGGGUGCACGUGGGGUGUGGGGCGGGAGGACUCCCGACCUACCUUGGUUUCCCUCCCACCAACCCGAGAAUGGAGGGAGAGGCUUAAGCUUGGCGCGUUUUGGGGGCUUUGAAUGGAGAACUCCGUUUCCCAUAAUGCUUUGUUUCUUUCUGUUUAAUUUUGGUGGCCGCUAAGGUGUCUUGAAGACCUAAGCGCGUGGCAUGACUGGCUGGAGCACACCCUGCGUUCCCAGGAGGUUCACAGAUCUCUACUGGAGCCGCUGCUGAAGAUGCGGGAAUAGACCAGAGAAAAUCCCGAAAUGGUAAAAGACUGGGUCCUCUUUGCAAUUUUAGAAGUUGUACAGCGACUUUCUAGUAUAUAUGAUGGAGAGCAGAUGUGUUAAAGAAAGGUAUUAGCUAGAAGGAGCUUUCUCUGGAGGGCUGAGGUAUGGUUUUGCGAAGUUGAGUCAGGUUUUGUAAUAUAUUUUUAGUGGAGGCAAAAAUCUCUAGUUGUAGGAACCCAGUUCAAGAAGAAAAGUAUAAUAAGCCAAUACUUGCACUAUAGGAAGCAGAUUUCAUAUUUACUUCAAAAGUUUUGCUAAUUUAUAUUUAAAAUGUUUUAAGAACUAUCUUAGUCACUAAGUGGCUUCGAAAAGUUCCAACAUUUAAAAUAUCCUUUCUCAUUGAACACAUUUCAAGUUUUGUGUCCCUGAAGUUUAUUGGUGUCCCCCCAUCAACACAAACAUUCCAUCAUGGGAGGGAGGGAGCUCGUGACCCCUCAGACUGUCCUCUGCAGCAUUUUCCUGGGUAAGAUACACACUUGGAAAUGAGAGAGGUUUUUCCUGUGGAAGAUAAUGACAUGAAGCCAAAGAGCUAAUCUGACUUCUUUAGGUUUAAUGGAGAAAAUGGGUCCAUAAAUGUUUAAACAGAAGUAGAGCCCUUUGAAAUAGAUGAAAAUGUGACAUCUCUAGGCCAUCUGUGCGGUAUGUGAAGAGUGUAAAACUGUUUCUUAAAGCGGCUCUGAAAUUUCUAUCAUUUUCUCUUAAUGGGCUGGGGGCAGGGAUGCUUCAUGUAAUCAAACAUAGAGACCUUCCGAGUGGCUCCCCAAAGCUCUGGAUGAGCUCAAGACGUCAGUACUCACCCUAAUGUUAUUUAUUUAUUUUUUUGCUUACAUCUUUUCCUGGGCUCUUGCCUCUUAGAAAACCAUGGUGGAUAUUACAGCUCUGCAAAUUUUCUGGGAUGCGAAUCUCAAAUUUCCUUAGACGGAGAGGGAGUCCAAAAUCCUCUUACUCUUAAGAGUCAGACAUUCUGAGAUUGCCAGUGUUAUUCAUGUUUAAGUCUGUGUAAAUAAUUGAGCUUAUUAAUGUUUGAAGUAACACAACCCCAUUUGCACUCUUAACGGAAGGCAAACUUGUUUUAGAAAUAGUAACUCACAGUUCACUUACUUGCUGUGUGUGUGUGUGUGUGUUUAUCCAGGUGAGUCUGCAGAUCUGGCAAAGAAGAGUUCGUGGAAGACUUCAAGGUUACACUCCUGGAGUAUGCCUUGGCCAUGUC